AUUGAACGCUGGCGGCAGGCCUAACACAUGCAAGUCGAACGCGUGGCGGACGGGUGAGUAAUGUGUGGGUAACUGCGUGAUGGAGGGGGAAAACUACUGGAAAGGGUCUCUAAUACCGCAUACCAUCGGAUGUGCCCAUAUGGGAUUAGCUAGUAGGUGGGGUAACGGCUCACCUAGGCGACGAUCCCUAGCUGGUCUGAGAGGAUGACCAGCCACACUGGGACUGAGACACGGUCCAGACUCCUACGGGAGGCAGCAGUGGGGAAUAUUGCACAAUGGGCGCAAGCCUGAUGCAGCCAUGCCGCGUGUAUGAAGAAGGCCUUCGGGUUGUAAAGUACUUUCAGCGGGGAGGCGUUACCCGCAGAAGAAGCACCGGCUAACUCCGUGCCAGCAGCCGCGGUAAUUC
rnacentral:rRNA from 1 species